rnacentral:misc_RNA from 1 species
GUUUUUACUAUUAAAAUUUUGCUUCAACCACCCACUGUAUUGCCCUCUCUUGCGGCCAUUCGAACUCGUUGCCAUUAUCUUUUCUUUUCUUUUCUUUUACUGUUCAUUUUUAUUUAGACCUUUGAUAUAUCUUGCUCUUUCUAGAAAGAGGGAUCUGUUGUUAUAUGUUAGUGUCCACAAACAAGUGGCAAUUCUAUGCUGCCGUUAUUCUUUAUUCCCCGUUUCGUCCACUUUUUGUAGUUAUUAUG